AUGCAGUCGAACGAUGAUGCCCAGCUUGCUGGGCGGAUUAGUGGCGAACGGGUGAGUAAUACGUGAGUAACCUGCCCUUGACUCUGGGAUAAGCCUGGGAAACUGGGUCUAAUACUGGAUACUACCUCUUACCGCAUGGUGGGUGGUGGAAAGGGUUUUACUGGUUUUGGAUGGGCUCACGGCCUAUCAGCUUGUUGGUGGGGUAAUGGCUCACCAAGGCGACGACGGGUAGCCGGCCUGAGAGGGUGACCGGCCACACUGGGACUGAGACACGGCCCAGACUCCUACGGGAGGCAGCAGUGGGGAAUAUUGCACAAUGGGCGGAAGCCUGAUGCAGCGACGCCGCGUGAGGGAUGACGGCCUUCGGGUUGUAAACCUCUUUCAGUAGGGAAGAAGCGAGAGUGACGGUACCUGCAGAAGAAGCGCCGGCUAACUACGUGCCAGCAGCCGCGGUAAUACGUAGGGCGCAAGCGUUGUCCGGAAUUAUUGGGCGUAAAGAGCUCGUAGGCGGUUUGUCGCGUCUGCUGUGAAAGCCCGGGGCUCAACCCCGGGUCUGCAGUGGGUACGGGCAGACUAGAGUGCAGUAGGGGAGACUGGAAUUCCUGGUGUAGCGGUGAAAUGCGCAGAUAUCAGGAGGAACACCGAUGGCGAAGGCAGGUCUCUGGGCUGUUACUGACGCUGAGGAGCGAAAGCAUGGGGAGCGAACAGGAUUAGAUACCCUGGUAGUCCAUGCCGUAAACGUUGGGCACUAGGUGUGGGGGACAUUCCACGUUUUCCGCGCCGUAGCUAACGCAUUAAGUGCCCCGCCUGGGGAGUACGGCCGCAAGGCUAAAACUCAAAGGAAUUGACGGGGGCCCGCACAAGCGGCGGAGCAUGCGGAUUAAUUCGAUGCAACGCGAAGAACCUUACCAAGGCUUGACAUUCACCGGACCGCCCCAGAGAUGGGGUUUCCUUUCGGGGCUGGUGGACAGGUGGUGCAUGGUUGUCGUCAGCUCGUGUCGUGAGAUGUUGGGUUAAGUCCCGCAACGAGCGCAACCCUCGUUCUAUGUUGCCAGCACGUGAUGGUGGGGACUCAUAGGAGACUGCCGGGGUCAACUCGGAGGAAGGUGGGGAUGACGUCAAAUCAUCAUGCCCCUUAUGUCUUGGGCUUCACGCAUGCUACAAUGGCCGGUACAAAGGGUUGCGAUACUGUGAGGUGGAGCUAAUCCCAAAAAGCCGGUCUCAGUUCGGAUUGAGGUCUGCAACUCGACCUCAUGAAGUCGGAGUCGCUAGUAAUCGCAGAUCAGCAACGCUGCGGUGAAUACGUUCCCGGGCCUUGUACACACCGCCCGUCAAGUCACGAAAGUUGGUAACACCCGAAGCCGGUGGCCUAACCCC
rnacentral:rRNA from 1 species